GUAGGUGGCAAGCGUUGUCCGGAAUUAUUGGGCGUAAAGCGCGCGCAGGCGGUCCUUUAAGUCUGAUGUGAAAGCCCACGGGCUCAACCGUGGAGGGUCAUUGGAAACUGGGGGACUUGAGUACAGAAGAGGAAAGUGGAAUUCCACGUGUAGCGGUGAAAUGCGUAGAGAUGUGGAGGAACACCAGUGGCGAAGGCGACUUUCUGGUCUGUAACUGACGCUGAGGCGCGAAAGCGUGGGGAGCAAACAGGAUUAGAUACCCUGGUAGUCCACGCCGUAAACGAUGAGUGCUAAGUGUUAGAGGGUUUCCGCCCUUUAGUGCUGCAGCUAACGCAUUAAGCACUCCGCCUGGGGAGUACGGCCGCAAAGGCUG
rnacentral:rRNA from 1 species